CAAAUUAAAAAAAAAUUUGUUUCCCUCAUAAUUCAUUUCAGUUCCUUCCGAAUUCAUCUUUUGUGAAAUUCUCCCGCUUUCAAAUUAGGGAAAUUUCGUUUCCCCCAUAAUUCAUUUUGUUUCCCUCCAAAUUCAUUUUUUGUGAAAUUCUCCCGCUUCCAAUAAGUUCAACGAUUCCUCUUCGUUGUUUAUUAAAAACCGUCAAGUUACACGAUUCCUCUUCUUUGUUCACCUACAUUUGCGAUUAGGGUUUUUCACCAUUCUAUUAUACUCUUUCUGCGAUUAAACUUCUUCUCCGAUUCACCUGGGUGCGCGAUUCACCAUGGAGUGUUCACCUUGCUUGGAGGAGAUUCGACACCUGCAAGAGAUGAUACUCAUUCCACAUUUGAAUUAGUUGUUGAUCCCAAGUUUAAUCAUGGAGUACUUUAUGACCAGUUUUGUAUGUAAUGCUGUGGAUGGCUGGUGUGCUUGAAGAUUCAAAUUUCCUUCCAUCUGCAGUUAAUGUUUUAUGAAACCGAGAAACAACAACAGUGAUGGAUAAUCAAACAAUGGCUGCAAGCUUGGAACUCCUUGACCAGUACUAGCAAGACGUGCCACUGAUGAAUUGUAAUGAAAACCUGACCUAGCUACCAUGGCAGUCACGGGAAAUAGUUGUUUUCAACAUUUUCAAUAACACAAUUUUUCUUAAGAAAUUUCAUAUUCAACAAGUGUUUAUCAUGCCUUUUUUCUUGGGCUUCAAUGCUCAACAAAGAACAUGAAAGGGAAGAAGACUCCAAAUCAGAGCCUGUACCUAGUACCCCAGGAGGUUGAGAUUUGAGAGGAUUGUGAGACUUGGAGUUCGAAAGGCACAAUACUUGGACCUAGACAUCACCUUUUUGGUAUCUCUCGAGUGUUCCUGCAUGGGUUAAUGAAAUACAUGUAAUAUGGCAAAUGAUCUACUAACCCUAGGGAUGUGUUAUUGUUUCCGCUUGUGGUUUAUUUACAAUGUAUUUUAAUUCUAUUACUCCUCUUUUGUCUUUGAUUAUCUGGUAGCUUCACUCAACUGUUAAAGGGAAAUUUCUAUUUACUAUUUUCACAAAUGUAUCACAUCAAAGUUGAUGUUUAUUUCCAUUUUAACAACAAUAGGAGUUAUAGUCCCAGCAGGUAUUGUUUGUCAGUUUAUGAUAGAUCCACUCACUAAUGGUAAUGUUAAUAGUGAUGCCCCCGUAACUGGUAUUGCAAAUGCAGAGUCCGAUUUUACAAGACUUUGAUUUGAAUACAAAAUUGCUCCAAAACGACUCAAGGCACCUCGGGCUUCCUUAAAACCUUCUGAUAUUGAAAAUAGAAAAAGAGUGGUUUUAGCAUCAACUAGUGGAUCAUCGGCUCUAUUUCGUUUUCCCGCAUGGCUUUAACUUUGGGAAAUUGUCUUUUUGGCCAACAAGUUUUGUGUGAUGCAAGUAUGCAGGUAGCAGCGGGUUCUUGGACUGAUAUGGCAGGUUUGCAUUGGCCAUGUUGCUGCCGUAACUGGUGCUGUUUGUGACCAUAGACAAUGAGGUUUGCAAAAAUGAUGUAGAGGGAUUGCACUGAGAUGCCACAAGUUUUGUGAAAAUGGUGAACAUUGAGUGAACUGAAAAUUUCAUCCAUGAAUUUCAUUCCAACACCAAUGCUUCCACCUUGAGGUUCACAUCAAUACUGAUGAAGAAGGAUGAGUGAAGACUGAUUAUUGAUGUUUGAAGACUUUUUUGUGAUUAUAUUAUGUUAAGUUUGUAUUAGUUAUUGUGUGUCAACCUUUGGUUUUAGUGUCAACUAAACUAUUAAGUCACUGCUUUUUAAAUGUCAAGACAUGUUAAGAUAUUGAUGUAAUUGGAUGCCUCCAUUUGACGAAUGCUACCUUUUAAAUUUGCCUUAGGUUUUGUCAUAUUUGUUGCUGUCAAACACUUUAGUAAGGUGCUUUUCAUGAUACUGUCAACCACA